rnacentral:rRNA from 1 species
UCUACAUUAAUUUCAAUUUUAUAUUGCAUAAUAAAAGAUAAAUAUCUGUAGAGGUGAAAUACCACACGAAUUUCAUUAUAUCUGGUUUUUUUAAAAAGUAUCAGUACUUAAAUUUUUCUAAGGUCAAGCUUUUAAAAUAAAUUUUUCCACAAUUUUCCAAAUAUUUAAGAUUAAUAGUGUCUCAAAGUGUAAUAACUGAUUCUUAGAUUUUAUUUAAAUAUUCAUAUAAAAAUAGAAUCUAACUUUAAAAAUGAUUUUAUCAGUAAAUAAUCAAUUUACACUCUUUACUUUAAAAACCUCUCAAUUUCAAACUUAUCUUUAUCUCAUGAACUAGGCCACUAUUUAUUGACUGUUUAUCAAAAACAUUUCUAAAUGUAAUUAUAUUUAGUAAGACCUGCUCAAUGACAUUUAAAUUGCGGCAAUUUAAUGUCCUAAGGUAGCAUAAUCAUUUGCCUUUUAAUUGAAGGCUAGAAUGAACGGUUUUACAUAUAAAUACCUUUAUUAUUAAAAUUAAUUGAAAUUUUCCUAAAAGUAAAAAGACUUUUAUAAAUUAGGAGGACGACAAGACCCUAUUGAGCUUCACUUCAGUUGAACUGGGGUGGUAAAAAAUAAAAUCUUUAUAAAUUUUUCUAAAAAGCUUUAAAUAAAAUAAAUAAGUUACCAUAGGGAUAACAGCAUAAUUUUUUCCUAAAGCCCUAAUAAAAGAAAAAGAUUAUGACCUCGAUGUUGAAUUAAUUUAUC